GACGAACGCUGGCGGCGUGCUUAACACAUGCAAGUCGUACGGUAAGGCCCUUUCGGGGGUACACGAGUGGCGAACGGGUGAGUAACACGUGAGUAACCUGCCCACAACUUUGGGAUAACGCUAGGAAACUGGUGCUAAUACUGGAUAUGUGCUCCUGCUGCAUGGUGGGGGUUGGAAAGCUCCGGCGGUUGUGGAUGGACUCGCGGCCUAUCAGCUUGUUGGUGGGGUAGUGGCCUACCAAGGCGGCGACGGGUAGCCGGCCUGAGAGGGUGACCGGCCAAAUGGGGACGGAGAGACGGCCCAGCCCCCUCGGGGGGGCAGGGGGGGGGAAUAUUGAAAAAGGGGCCCAACCCUGAUGAAGCAACGCCGGGGGCGGGAGGAGGGCCUUCGGGUGUAAAACCGCUUUAAGCGGGGACGAAGCUUUUUGGGGCGGACCCUGAAGAAGAAGCACCGGCUAACUACG
rnacentral:rRNA from 1 species